UACGUAGGGGGCAAGCGUUGUCCGGAUUCAUUGGGCGUAAAGAGCGUGUAGGCGGCCAGGUAGUUCGGUUGUGAAAACUGGAGGCUCAACCUUCAGACGUCGACCGAAACCAUCUGGCUAGAGUCCGGGAGAGGAGAGUGGAAUUCCUGGUGUAGCGGUGAAAUGCGCAGAUAUCAGGAAGAACACCCGUGGCGAAAGCGGCUCUCUGGAACGGUACUGACGCUUAGACGCGAAAGCGUGGGGAGCGAACAGG
rnacentral:rRNA from 1 species